GAUGAACGCUGGCGGCGUGCCUAAUACAUGCAAGUCGAGCGAACAGACGAGGAGCUUGCUCCUCUGACGUUAGCGGCGGACGGGUGAGUAACACGUGGAUAACCUACCUAUAAGACUGGGAUAACUUCGGGAAACCGGAGCUAAUACCGGAUAAUAUAUUGAACCGCAUGGUUCAAUAGUGAAAGACGGUUUUGCUGUCACUUAUAGAUGGAUCCGCGCCGCAUUAGCUAGUUGGUAAGGUAACGGCUUACCAAGGCAACGAUGCGUAGCCGACCUGAGAGGGGGAUCCGCCCCCCUUGAACUGAGACACGGUCCAGACUCCUACGGGAGGCAGCAGUAGGGAAUCUUCCGCAAUGGGCGAAAGCCUGACGGAGCAACGCCGCGUGAGUGAUGAAGGUCUUCGGAUCGUAAAACUCUGUUAUUAGGGAAGAACAAAUGUGUAAGUAACUAUGCACGUCUGGACGGUACCUAAGCAGAAAGCCACGGCUAACUACGG
rnacentral:rRNA from 1 species